ACGGUUAUCCAAUUGAGAUUCAAGCACUUUUCUAUGUGGCUUUAAGGUGUGUUUGAAUGGAACACCUUAAAUCCAUGAAGAAAAGUGUUUGAAUCUCAAUUAGAUAACCA
rfam:Glycine soja cultivar W05 scaffold1060_31, whole genome shotgun sequence.